rnacentral:rRNA from 1 species
GAUGAACGCUGGCGGCGUGCCUAAUACAUGCAAGUCGAGCGAACAGACGAGGAGCUUGCUCCUCUGACGUUAGCGGCGGACGGGUGAGUAACACGUGGAUAACCUACCUAUAAGACUUGGAUAACUUCGGGAAACCGGAGCUAAUACCGGAUAAUAUAUUGAACCGCAUGGUUCAAUAGUGAAAGACGGUUUUGCUGUCACUUAUAGAUGUAUCCGCGCCGCAUUAGCUAGUUGGUAAGGUAACGGCUUACCAAGGCAACGAUGCGUAGCCGACCUGAGAGGGUGAUCGGCCACACUGGAACUGAGACACGGUCCAGACUCCUACGGGAGGCAGCAGUAGGGAAUCUUCCGCAAUGGGCGAAAGCAUGACGGAGCAACGCCGCGUGAGUGAUGAAGGUCUUCGGAUCGUAAAACUCUGUUAUUAGGGAAGAACAAAUGUGUAAGUAACUAUACACGUCGUGACGGUACCUAAUCAGAAAGCCACGGCUAACUACGUG